GGUUUACGAAAAAGUUAUAUCGAAGUAUGAACGUAUAACGUCGGUAAAUAUAUAUUGCAAGCCUACUAAAGCAUACGGACUUGAACAUUCCUUUUUUCGAAAACUUCGCGAUUCUGAUGUGGAUUUGGAUUGGCACAUCCAAACCAUUACUGGUAGAGCACAUUUCUUCUUUAAAAAACGUAGUUAAAUGGUUAGAAAAAAAUAUACAGGAAAAGAUGGACCGGUCAAGACCUUUGUGGAGGUUAUAUAAGGUUAUAAGAUUCCUCCUCUUAAAGACGAUGGACGCUGUUUGAUUAUGGCCCACUUUUGUCACAGUUUAAGCAAUUAUAUUUAUA